rnacentral:lncRNA from 1 species
AUGAUCAAUUAGCCUACAUUUUGUUCAAACUUGACUUACUCGCAAGUGAAGUUCAGACAAAUAAUCCUUUUUAAAUUAUUGAUAAAUUAGAGAUUUUUGUUAUGAUUAUUUGCUCAAAAUGAGCAAAAAUGAUGUACAACACACAAAGUGGUUUGCAGGUAGAGAAAGAUAGGAGCUACUUCUGGUGUACCACAUGGCUCUGCACCAAGACCACUUAUACUAAUCUAACCCACAACCUUACACCUGAUAGAUCUGAAACACGUCUCACACAAAAAGUAGAAGCAGAGGAAACACAAUGCUCUAAAUGUUCCAAGCAGAUCAAACAAUGCUUAUCUGGUGCGGCUGCAAAUGUGUUGUCUAAGUAGGUUAAGCAGCCGGCGUUCUGGGAUCCACUGCUUGACUUACUUUUUCAGAAAUUGUGACAACUCCUAACCCCACAGAGCACAUGAAAAGAAAAACAUACCAGAAAAAGCUCCAUGCAUUCUGUGCAGUCUUAUCUUUUCAAAAAGCUGAGGGUAAUGAAUGUUUGAUGCAACCACCCCAUGGCCUUGGAGGCUCUGAGAUAUUCACAUGCAGCAGCUUGCUAAGUCAAUACCACCUCAGCGGUGACCCCCAUCUGUGCUCAGGGACAUCAAUAGGUCUUGGCAGACACAAAAAAGGAAAGAAAACAAAGAUUUGUGUGGGUCUCACUUAAAAAUCAGCUGGUAGUUUCAUUUAUAGUAGAUUUUACCUUUAAUCUAUUACAGAAACUGCUCAUAGAAUCCAGCAAAGAGUGGAGGAAUAGCUUUAGAAGCAGUCUGAUCCUGAUCCGAUCAGUAAUCCACAGGCAUCAGAUCUGCACAACCCCCGCCAUAAUACAACACAAUAAAAAAAUGAGCUGCAAAUAUUAUUAGAGGGAAAACCUUCAUCACCGUGUACCACAGCCUUGUAUGUCAUUGUUUUGAUGAUCAGCUGUCCUGUUUUCAAAAACAAACUAUAAACUGUUAGAUUCUCCCGCUGGAAAAACCUGGACAUAUUUUAUGUCUUUUAUGUCUCUUUCAAAAUAAAACCUGCCAGUUGCAAUUAGCAUCAGGACCCACCGACACACACUUCCUUUUUGGGAAUGGAAGGAAAAACACAACAAAAAAAAAAAGAGUCCUGUGAUCUGAAGUCCUUUCAUUUGAGGCUGACUGUCUUUAACCCCGGCGGCUCUGAUCACACGAUUCUGCAGAACAAACACUUGUUUCUGUUCCAUUUUUUCAGAAUCAAAGGUAAUUCUUUCACAUUUCCAUCAGAGCAAAUAUCAACAUGAAAUGAGCUUUUGGCACAUGUCUGCAUCUUGCUGGAGACAUAUCACUGGAGAAAUAUCUUUCAGGUCCUAUCCCACAUCUAUGGAAAAGAUUUGACACCUAAUUUCCCGGGUUGGUAUUUUUGGAAUUAUGAUACCUCAACAUAAAACAAAUCAAUCCCAGGGAAAUGCCAUUACAUUCGCCACUCUUCUCGCACAUAGACUGAUUUUAUUCCAUUGUAAAUCUGACGAAGCUCGUUCGGUCUCCCUAUGGUUAAAAUAGUUACCGUACUUUCCUUCCUGCCUUUGAAAAAGCUCACAUACAGGGUAAAAUCAACACAACAAAAAUUUUCAGUGACAUGGAUCCCCCUUAUUGAAUAUGUGAUAAAAUUUACCUUUGAUGUUUGAUGACUUGGAUGUGAGGAAUAGAGACUGUUAUCAAUCAUCCUUUCUUUUUAGUGUUCCUUCAUCUGUUUUAAGAGCCUCGUGGGUUAGGAGGGAGGGUACUUUCCUCUCUUUUCUGUUUCACUUUUUACU